UACGAAGGGGGCUGGCGUUGCUCGGAAUCACUGGGCGUAAAGGGUGCGUAGGCGGGUCUUUAAGUCAGGGGUGAAAUCCUGGAGCUCAACUCCAGAACUGCCUUUGAUACUGAGGAUCUUGAGUACGGGAGAGGUGAGUGGAACUGCGAGUGUAGAGGUGAAAUUCGUAGAUAUUCGCAAGAACACCAGUGGCGAAGGCGGCUCACUGGCCCGGUACUGACGCUGAGGUGCGAAAGCGUGGGAGCAACAGG
rnacentral:rRNA from 1 species